CAGCAGCCGCGGUAAAACGGAGGAUCCAAGCGUUAUCCGGAAUCAUUGGGUUUAAAGGGUCCGUAGGCGGUCUUGUAAGUCAGUGGUGAAAGCCCAUCGCUCAACGGUGGAACGGCCAUUGAUACUGCAGGACUUGAAUUAUUGGGAAGUAACUAGAAUAUGUAGUGUAGCGGUGAAAUGCUUAGAGAUUACAUGGAAUACCAAUUGCGAAGGCAGGUUACUACCAAUUGAUUGACGCUGAUGGACGAAAGCGUGGGUAGCGAACAGGAUUAGAUACCCCUGUAGUCCCUGUCUCUUAUAC
rnacentral:rRNA from 1 species